rnacentral:sRNA from 1 species
UUUCGUCCUCCCUGCUCCCUCCUCCCCACUCGGGCCGCCACGCCUGCACGCGCACGCGCACACUUAGACCGCCGCGCCCCUCUGCGAGCCCAUCCCCUCCCGGUGGCGCUGCACGCGUCGCCUCUGCCCCCUGCCAGUCGGUCCCACACGCCCCUGGAUGCCGAGGGAGGGCGGCGAGGACAGUCAGUACACGUCCCUCAUGCCCUCGGCUACAGCCCGGCCUUCUGCAACCUUUAGGCACCGGGUCUAGCCUCACUCCUGGCACUCCCUCCCCGUCGCGCCUUGGCGUCCUGCGGGGCAUACACUCGCCCCGUGGUCCUGGAGCGACUGGGUGGUAGCCCGCGGUGACCUGAGGCUUCGCGGGUUCUUCCCCAGCGCCAGCCGACCGGGUCUAGUCCUGGUUGCGGGGCGCUGGGCAGCCAGGGUGUCUGCCUGCUGAAGUCCCAGAGCAGCUCGCUGCUGACUCCGAUAGCAUCCGUCCCGCAGCCUUGCCGUAGGACCACUUUCCCCAGAGGGCCCUACCCACUUCGUUCAUCGAUAAGAAAAUGCUCCCGCACGCAGCCUUGCAGAUAAACCAGUCUGAUGGACGGUCUGAUGGACAGUCUGAUGGAGGCCUUAUCUCUGUGGAGGACCCUCUUCCUGAAGGAUGGAUGACCUGAGCUUGUAUCAAGUUGACAGAAACUGAACAGCACAGACCUUUCUCUUAUAGCAGCUCGAAGGUUUCCAACCACAGGCCAUCCUCCUCCGAGCCUCCUUCUAGGCUGCUGUGAAGAGAUUGCUCUCUAACGACGGUUCAAAAUGAAUCUCCUCCGGAGCCUCCAGGGCCCUGCUGACCGGAUUUAUUUAUUGCUUUAUCUCUGCAAGUGUGCCAUUCCUUUCUUCCUGACCUUGUACCACCUCCCCAUUCUGUUCCGUUGCCUUGAUUGCUUGACUCUGGUCAGAUCUUUGUCAAGUUUAGUUACUGCCUGAAGUCUUUAUCUAGUUCACUAUCUGUCGCCAUCAUCGUCAUCGUCAUCAUCAUCGUCAUCGUCGUUGUCACCCGCAUCAUCGCCGUCACCAUCGUCAUCAUCAGGACUGGAGGUUGAACCUAAGGUCUCAGUUAUGCUAGACAAGUGCUCACCAUACAGCCCUGCUUGUACCUUCCAUUUGGAGACAGGCUGUCUCUAAAGGCCAAGGCAGCCCCUCAGGCUUACAGAUCCUCCUGAUUUAGCCUCCAAAGUAGCUGGGAGUACAGAACUGUGUCACUGUGCCCAGCUUCCUCAGCAAAGUCAUAACUUUCUGUCCCUAUAGGUGGCCCCCUCUGGCAGUUGAGUAGGUGGUAUUUAUUCCCAGCACCUGGCAUUGGAUUGGAUUGGAUGGGGGAGGCACACGACGAACACAUCAAAAUGUUCAUGACUAUGUUGGAGAGGUUGCUCAUGGGUAGAUGUAGAGAGAGCUGAAUUUGAUCCCCAAAACAAGCACACGUAUCCUCUCCCCCAUCCCCUCACACACACACACACACAGAUGGCCGAGUAUUCAGAGUGUAUGGAAAGACAAAACAUCUGAUUUUUAGAUUUCCAAUCCCCAGAAUGAGCACAUCCUUUGAAGCCGGUUGAGAUCUUGUGGUAUCUUGUCCUAAGAGACUCCACAUGGUAUAAAAACAGUGGUUUUGCAAGCUGUCCCUUGGCCCCACGAGCGGCUCAUUGUACAAGCAAGUUGUAACUCCAUUUUGAGGGAGGAGGAUGAUUCUGCACCGGGUAAGCAAGUGUAUUUAUCAGGGUGAGUCGGGACUGUGAGACCACAUGGGUUAUGGCAACUUGAAUGGGAAUGGCCCCAUAGGCUUGUAUAUUUGAGUGUUUGAUUCCCAGUUGGUGGACUAUUUAGGAAGGAUUAAAAGGUGUGGCCUUGUUGGAGUGGGUGUUGGAGAAGGUGCUCUAUUGGGGGUGGGUUUGUUUGUUUGUUUUGAGUGUUAUGUGUUGUGUUGUGUUAUUUUGGUUUUUUUUUUAAGGCUUUAAAAGUCCACACCAGGGGUUGGGCAUUUGGCUCAGUCCUAGCAAGCGCAAGGCCCUGGGUUUGAUCCCCAGCUCCGAAAAAAAAAAAAAAAAAGAAUAGAAAAAAAAAAAAAAGUCCACACCAGGAUCAGUCUCAAACUCUCAAUUUCAGGUCAAAUGGAGCUCUCAGCUACUGCUCCAGCACCAUGCUCCCAAUCAUAAUGAUUAUGGAUUAUGGAUUUUUUUUAAAGAUUUAUUUAUUGUAUGCAUGUGAGUACACUGUCACUAUCUUCAGACACACCAGAA